GAGAAAGUCCUCGUGGUGAGGUGUGUUUAUUAGAAUGAAAACCAUAUGCUUCGGCAUGAUAGUGAGUAAUAGUAAGCUAUCGUAUCGCAUGCUUAAUGUAGCGAUGAGUCUUUCAAGUUUCUGCCCUAUCAGCUUUCGAUGGUAGUAUAUGGGCCUACCAUGGCAGUAACGGGUAACGAAGAAUUUGGGUUCGAUUUCGGAGAGGGAGCCUGAGAGAUGGCUACCACAUCCAAGGAAGGCAGCAGGCGCGUAAAUUACCCAGUCCUGACACAGGGAGGUAGUGACAAUAAAUCACAAUGCGGGACUAUACGUCUUGCAAUUGGAUUGAGAACAAUGUACAACUCUUAUCGAUAAGCCAUUGGAGGGCAAAGUCUGGUGCCAGCAGCCGCGGGAAUUCCAGCUCCAAUAGCGUAUAUUAACGUUGUUGCAGUUCAAAA
rnacentral:rRNA from 1 species